GACGUAGGGUCCAAGCGUUGUCCGGAUUUACUGGGCGUAAAGAGCGCGUAGGCGGCUCGUUAAGUGUGAAGUGAAAUCUCCAGGGCUCAACCCGGAAACCGCUUCGCAUACUGGCGAGCUGGAGGAAUGCAGAGGUCAGUGGAAUUCCUGGUGUAGCGGUGAAAUGCGUUGAUAUCAGGAGGAACACCCAUGGCGAAGGCAGCUGACUGGGCAUUAUCUGACGCUGAGGCGCGAAAGCGUGGGUAGCAAACAGG
rnacentral:rRNA from 1 species